GACGAACGCUGGCGGCGUGCUUAACACAUGCAAGUCGAACGGAAAGGCCCUGCUUUUGUGGGGUGCUCGAGUGGCGAACGGGUGAGUAACACGUGAGUAACCUGCCCUUGACUUUGGGAUAACUUCAGGAAACUGGGGCUAUUACGGGAAAGGAUCUCUUGCGGCAGGGUGGGGGUGGGAAAGUUUCGGCGGUUGGGGAUGGACUGGCGGCUUAUCAGCUUGUUGGGGGGGUGGUGUCUUACCAGGGCUUUGACGGGUAGCAGGCCUGGGAGGGUCACCGGCCACAUUGGGACUGAGAUACGGCCCAGACUCCUACGGGAGGCAGCAGUGGAGAAUAGUACACAAGGGGCGGAAGCCUGAUGCAGCAACGCCGCGUGCGGGAUGACGGCCUUCGGGUUGUAAACCACUUUCGCCUGUGACGAGGCGUGAGUGACGGUAAUGGGUAAAGAAGCACCGGCUAACUACGUG
rnacentral:rRNA from 1 species